rnacentral:rRNA from 1 species
GACGAACGCUGGCGGCGUGCUUAACACAUGCAAGUCGAACGAUGAAGCCGGAGCUUGCUCUGGUGAAUUAGUGGCGAACGGGUGAGUAACACGUGAGUAACCUGCCCUUGACUCUGGGAUAACUGCUAGAAAUGGUAGCUAAUACCGGAUACGACCCUCGGAGGCAUCUCCAGGGGGUGGAAAGAAUUUCGGUCGAGGAUGGACUCGCGGCCUAUCAGCUAGUUGGUGAGGUACUGGCUCACCAAGGCGACGACGGGUAGCCGGCCUGAGAGGGUGACCGGCCACACUGGGACUGAGACACGGCCCAGACUCCUACGGGAGGCAGCAGUGGGGAAUAUUGCACAAUGGGCGCAAGCCUGAUGCAGCAACGCCGCGUGAGGGAUGACGGCCUUCGGGUUGUAAACCUCUUUUAGUAGGGAAGAAGCGAAAGUGACGGUACCUGCAGAAAAAGCACCGGCUAACUACGUGCCAGCCGCCGCCGUAA